CGGCGUGCCUAACACAUGCAAGUCGUACGAGAAAGUCGGCUUCGGCUGAUGAGUAAAGUGGCGCACGGGUGAGUAACGCGUGGAUAAUCUGCCCUUAAGUGUGGAAUAACGUACCGAAAGGUGCGCUAAUACCGCAUAAUGCCUGGCAACACAAGUUGUCCGGCCAAAGAAGGCCUCUGUUUACAAGCUUUCGCUUCAGGAUGAGUCCGCGUACCAUUAGCUUGUUGGUGGGGUAAUGGCCUACCAAGGCUGCGAUGGUUAGCUGGUCUGAGAGGAUGAUCAGCCACACUGGAACUGAGACACGGUCCAGACUCCUACGGGAGGCAGCAGUGAGGAAUAUUGCGCAAUGGGGGCAACCCUGACGCAGCAACGCCGCGUGAGUGAGGAAGGUUUUCGGACUGUAAAGCUCUGUCGAGCGGGAAGAAGUGUACCAUGGCUAAUAUCCAUGAUAUUUGACGGUACCGCUAGAGGAAGCACCGGCUAACUCCGUG
rnacentral:rRNA from 1 species